UCUUAUUUGACUACCUUUGGAGCAAAUACCUAGACCAUUCAGGUAUGACCUAAAUCAAAUCCCUUAUGAUUAUACAGUGGAAGUGAGAAAUAGAUUUAAGGGACUAGAUCUGAUAGACAGAGUGCCUGAUGAACUAUGGACUGAGGUUCGUGACAUUGUACAGGAGACAGGGAUCAAGACCAUCCCCAUGGAAAAGAAAUACAAAAAAGCAAAAUGGCUGGCUGAGGAGGCCUUACAAAUAGCUGUGAAAAGAAGAGAAGCAAAAAGCAAAGGAGAAAAGGAAAGAUAUAAGCAUCUGAAUGCAGAGUUCCAAAAAAUAGCAAGAAGAGAUAAGAAAGCCUUCCUUGGCGAUCAAUGCAAAGAAAUAGAGGAAAACAACAGAAUGGGAAAGACUAGAGAUCUCUUCAAGAAAAUUAGAGAUACCAAGGGAACAUUUCAUGCAAAGAUGGGCUUGAUAAAGGACAGAAAUGGUAUGGACCUAACAGAAGCAGAAGAUAUUAAGAAGAGAUGGCAAGAAUACACAGAAGAACUGUACAAAAAAGAUCUUCACAACACAGAUAAUCAUGAUGGUGUGAUCACUCACCUAGAGCCAGACAUCCUGGAAUGUAAAGUCAAGUGGGCCUUAGAAAGCAUCACUAGGAACAAAGCUAGUGGAGGUGAUGGAAUUCCAGUUGAGCUAUUUCAAAUCCUGAAAGAUGAUGCUGUGAAAGUGCUGCACUCAAUAUGCCAGCAAAUUUGGAAAACUCAGCAGUGGCCACAGGACUGGAAAAGGGCAGUUUUCAUUCCAACCCCAAAGAAAGGCAAUGCCAAAGAAUGCUCAAACUACCGCACAAUUGCACUCAUCUCACACGCUAGUAAAGUAAUGCUCAAAAUUCUCCAAGCCAGGCUUCAGCAAUAUAUGAACCGUGAACUUCCAGAUAUUCAAGUUAGUUUUAGAAAAGGCAGAGGAACCAGAGAUCAAAUUGCCAACAUCCGCUGGAUCAUCAAAAAAGCAAGAGAGUUCCAGAAAAACAUCUAUUUCUGCUUCAUUGACUAUGCCAAAGCCUUUGACUGUGUGGAUCACAAUCAACU
rnacentral:lncRNA from 1 species